rnacentral:rRNA from 1 species
UACGGAGGGUGCAAGCGUUAUCCGGAUUUAUUGGGUUUAAAGGGUCCGUAGGCGGACCAUUAAGUCAGUGGUGAAAGCCCUUCGCUCAACGAAGGGACUGCCAUUGAAACUGAUGGUCUUGAGUAUAAGUGAGGUUGGCGGAAUGUGUGGUGUAGCGGUGAAAUGCUUAGAUAUCACACAGAACACCGAUUGCGAAGGCAGCUGGCCAACUUAUAACUGACGCUGAGGGACGAAAGUGUGGGGAUCAAACAGG